CCCUUUCCAUGACUACUCCAUAACCCACAGCUUUCCAAAGCUCUUUUAGCCCACCUUGACCACUCGCCAUGCCUCUCCUCUUCAGUCUUCACAGUUGACUCAGGUCUGUGCUCCAUUUCCAUGUUGAGAUGAUUUGGAUUCACCAGAACCUCUCACGCCACCAAGAUAAUGAAACCAGAAGUUAAGAACACCAAGAACACUCAAGAACACUCAAUAAUUUUAA
rnacentral:lncRNA from 1 species